rnacentral:misc_RNA from 1 species
UCUGCCAUCGACCGGAUCACCUGUAUGUGUUUUCUUCGACAGUACCUACUGUACUGUUAUACCGUUUUUCUUUGGGGUUUAAGUCGAAAAGGACAGCAAAAUCGACUCACAACUAAUCCUAAGCAUUGAAAGGCUGCUUUCUGAAGAACCUAAAAUGGCUCAAUACGUUCGAGUCACAGAGGACGAUUCGCUACCAGCAAUCGAAGUGCCAACUGAAGCAGACGGAACGAUUUUACUGUCGACUCUUCAAGCGCAGUUUCCCGGUGCUUGUGGAUUGAGGUACAAGAACCCAGAGACUGACAGCUGGAGAGGAAUUCGUUUGUUAGAAAACAUGCUUUGCCCACCAGCUGUAGAGGGAUGGGGAGGGCAUUUGUACGUUGUGGUGCAGAAAAAUGACAGCACUAGUAAAAGAAAAAUCGAAGAAUCUCCUAACACUAAAGCAGAACCAGAAACAAAAAUGACAAAGAUUUCUUCUCCAGAGGAUGGAUUAGGAGACCUCAUUGUGCUUGGACUUCCUUGGAAAACUACAGCAGAAGACAUGAAGGAAUAUUUUCAAAAGUUUGGUGAAGUUGUUAUGGCAGAGGUGAAAAUGGAUUAUGGAAGUAGCAAAUCCAGAGGAUUUGGGUUUGUGAACUUUAAGGACCCUGAAGUGGCAAAAACAGUUUUAUCCCAGGUUCACCGCAUUCAAGGUCGCCUUUGUGAAGUGAGAUUGCCACGUUGUAAACAAGAAUUUAUGCCAAAGAAGUUGUUUGUGGGACGUCUUCCUGAUUCAACAAAUGAAGGAGAUCUUUUGGAUUAUUUUAGUAAGUUUGGUGAGGUGAUUGAUGUCUACAUUCCAAAACCAAUGUGUGGAAUUUCAUUUGUUACAUUUGCUUCAGGAGAAGUUGCCAAAAAAGUUCAGUCUCAGAAUCACCGCUUGGGAUCAAAUCUGCUUAAUGUGAACUUUGCAGAGCCUAAAGCAGCCAAAAAUGCCCACAUGCCCUCCCCAGCAGACAUACAGUCUAUGUCUCAAAACUCUGUGCCUGGGUGGGGUGGUAUGGGAUUUCCAGAAAUGUAUGGAAUGGGCUCUUGGAGCAAUGCUGGACGUCAGAAUUUGUCAUACAAUGCAUCAGCAGCUUACAACAGUAUGAUGCAGAGCAUGAUGAACAUGGGCAACCCGUCAGGUGCUAGUAACAUGAUGGCCAACAGACAUGGACGACGAUAAAUAUCCAGGGCAUGCCAGUGGACUCCAGCAAGUGCUGAAGAAGUUUUCAGAGUCAAGCUGUUCUCUGACACAAGAUCUGGCUUCUGCAAAAGAAAAAAAAACACAAGGAGAUGCCAGUCACCAAACAAGAAGCUCAUCUGCAGCCAUCUCUUGGAUGGGUCUUGGUGAAAGAGAUCAAGUUUUUCCUUGGUUUACAUUGUUCCCAUUGUUAACAUUGAAACCAGAGGGUUUAAACAUCUGCCAGGUUUCACUUGUAUACUGUCGCAGCCAAGUGUCUUCUUGCAGAACUUAAUAAAUCCAUACUGUUUAAUUAGCCCUAUUGAACCCUUGAGUGACCAGUAAGGAAUUUCUCCUUACAAUGUUAAUACAUUGUCAAAGAGAGGGGUGAUGAGAAUAAAGAAAAUGAUCAUCUUAAAAAGAUUAUUUUUUUGUUCAACUAUUCCUUACGCAAAAACUAACAGAAAUACACAUAUAUUGAUAUUGUGACCUAGUUUGGUAGUGUAAAGGUUAAGUUGACUUGGUGCCCAAGGGCUCUUUUGCAAAAUUCUGAUUUGUCCUCUAAGAAGGGCUUUCUCAAAAGCAAAGGUGGGAAGAUCAUCCAUGGGCAAAAUUUUAGUUGCCUCAUCACCCAAUCUCUGCUAUUCUGCAGCCCUAAUUUCGCAUGUUCUUAGCCAUAUAAAAGCACAAGUUUUAUUCACCUCCAAAAAGACAGAAUCCCUUGUGAGGACAUUGUUCUGAUUCAGAAGGGUCUAUCAGUUUGGGAAGGUACAACAAAGUAUAACUUAUGUUGUCCAUUAAUGUGAGGUUCAGAACUGCUGUGAUCACAAUUUUGGAUUAGUUAUUAGAGGCAGUUUAGCCUUCUCGUUUUGCACUAUGAAUGGGAAAAAAGGAGUUUUUGACUAAUAGGUAAUUUAGUGUUAACAACUGAGUUGAAAACAUAAAUUAGCCACCGUAUAGAGUUUAAAGGCUGUUUUGAGCGACAGCCCUUCAUCAAUUGCUCUGAUGAAGGGCUAACACUUGAAACAUCAGCCUUUAAACUCGUUACAGUGGCUACUUUACAUUUUCAACUCAGUUGUUGAGACUAAAUUACCUGUUAUACUUCCACCAAUGCAGCACCACAGUUUCUUUAGAAACUUACUCUCUUUAUUUUUGACUAACAGUUUGUUGAUAUUUGGUUGUCAAGAGUUGAAACAUAUUCGAUGCAUCAGAUUGGUCAAGGAAUGUAAUCAUUUUAAAACCUUUUGCAGUUGGCUGCCAACAACUUGAACCCUUACUAACUGAUUCCUUGUAAUCAAUCUUAGGGAUGCUUUUUGCCAAUGAGUGUAAUCUUUUUAAACCUUGCUUCUCAUAACUUGGAUUCCCAAGUACUCAAACUUCCUUCAUUUCCCUUGGUUAUCACCAUUUGGCUGCAUAAAUUGUUAUGUUUCUACAAGAUAUGGCAUAGAUAUGCAAGGACAAAAAAGUUGUAACAACAAAAGUUAUUUUUAAGUGGUUUAUUAAGUAAAUCCUUACUUGUAGCAAUCUUAUUUAUAACAGCAGUAACCUCUGAUGUAUUUUGAAAUUAACUGUUGAUUAUAAACAAGUACCUUACAAAAGUUCAUAAUUUAUUGAAGAAAUUUUAUCACCAUUGUAUCCUGUACUAUUAAAACUAAUUCCACUUUAAAUAAAUUCGCAAAAGUUCCUUCA